rnacentral:tRNA from 2 species
GGGGCAGUGGCGCAGUGGGAGCGCGUCUCCUUGGCAUGGAGAAGGUCGCGGGUUCAACUCCCGCCUGCUCCACCA